rnacentral:rRNA from 1 species
CGCUGGCGGCGCGCCUAACACAUGCAAGUCGAACGAGAGAUGAGGAGCUUGCUCUUCAGAUCGAGUGGCGAACGGGUGAGUAACGCGUGAGUAACCUGCCCUAGAGUGGGGGACAACAGUUGGAAACGACUGCUAAUACCGCAUAAGCCCACGGUACCGCAUGGUACUGAGGGAAAAGGAUUUAUUCGCUUUAGGAUGGACUCGCGUCCAAUUAGCUAGUUGGUGAGGUAAUGGCCCACCAAGGCGACGAUUGGUAGCCGGACUGAGAGGUUGAACGGCCACAUUGGGACUGAGACACGGCCCAGACUCCUACGGGAGGCAGCAGUGGGGAAUAUUGCACAAUGGGGGAAACCCUGAUGCAGCGACGCCGCGUGAGUGAUGAAGUAUUUCGGUAUGUAAAACUCUAUCAGCAGGGAAGAUAAUGACGGUACCUGACUAAGAAGCACCGGCUAAAUACGUG